AGUGAACGCUGGCGGUAGGCCUAACACAUGCAAGUCGAACGGCAGCACAGUAAGAGCUUGCUCUUACGGGUGGCGAGUGGCGGACGGGUGAGGAAUACAUCGGAAUCUACUUUUUCGUGGGGGAUAACGUAGGGAAACUUACGCUAAUACCGCAUACGCCCUACGGGUGAAAGCAGGGGAUCUUCGGACCUUGCGCGAUUGAAUGAGCCGAUGUCGGAUUAGCUAGUUGGCGGGGUAAAGGCCCACCAAGGCGACAAUCCGUAGCUGGUCUGAGAGGAUGAUCAGCCACACUGGAACGGAGACACGGUCCAGACUCCUACGGGAGGCAGCAGUGGGGAAUAUUGGACAAUGGGCGCAAGCCUGAUCCAGCCAUACCGCGUGGGUGAAGAAGGCCUUCGGGUUGUAAAGCCCUUUUGUUGGGAAAGAAAAGCAGCAGGUUAAUACCCCGCUGUUCUGACGGUACCCAAAGAAUAAGCACCGGCUAACUUCGUG
rnacentral:rRNA from 1 species